GGGUUGCGCAGGUGGGGUUGGCAAGUUUGAUGUGAAAGCCCCCCGGGGCUUAACCCGGGAAUGGCAUUGAAUACUGCUGAUCUGGAGGAUUGGAGGGGGGACCGGAAUUCUUGGUGUAGCAGUGAAAUGCGUAGAUAUCAAGAGGAACACCAGUGGCGAAGGCGAGUCCCUGGACAAUACCUGACACUGAGGCACGAAAGCCAAGGGAGCAAACAGGAUUAGAUACCCUGGUAGUCUUGGCUGUAAACGGUGCGCAUUUGCUGUAAACGGAAUCGACCCCGUUUGUGGCGAAGCUAACGCGAUAAAUGCGCCGCCUGGGAAGUACGGUCGCAAGAUUAAAACUCAAAGAAAUUGACGGGGGCCUGCACAAGCGGUGGAGUAUGUGGCUUAAUUCGAUGCAACGCGAAGAACCUUACCUGGCCUUGACAUGCAAGUGGUAGAACCAUGAAAGUGGGACGAUCCCGCAAGGGAAGCUUGCACAGGUGCUGCAUGGCUGUCGUCAGCUCGUGUCGUGAGAUGUUGGGUUAAGUCCCGCAACGAGCGCAACCCUUGUGUCCUGUUGCCACUCCCUCGAGAGAGGGAAGCACUCUGGACAGACUGCCUCGCUUAAACGAGGAGGAAGGUGGGGAUGACGUCAAGUCAGUAUGGCCCUUACGGCCAGGGCUGCACACGUACUACAAUGCAUGGCACAAAGGGAAGCUAGACCGCAAGGUGGAGCAAAUCCCAUAAAACCAUGCCCAGUUCAGAUUGUCGUCUGCAACUCGACGACAUGAAGCCGGAAUCGCUAGUAAUGGCGCAUCAGCUACGGCGCCGUGAAUACGUUCCCAGGCCUUGUACACACCGCCCGUA
rnacentral:rRNA from 1 species